UACCUGCAGCUCAAGUGGUGAUCGUUAUUAUUGGGCCUAAAACGUCCGUAGCCGGUCUUGUAAAUGCCUGGGUAAAUCGUAUGGCUUAACUAUACGAAUUCCGGGUAGACUGUUAGACUUGAGACCGGGAGAAGCUAGAGGUACUCCUGGGGUAGAGGUGAAAUUCUGUAAUCCUAGGGGGACCACCAGUGGCGAAGGCGUCUAGCUAGAACGGGUCUGACGGUGAGGGACGAAGCCCUGGGGCGCAAACGGGAUUAGAUACCCCGGUAGUCCAGGGUGUAAACGCUGCUUGCUUGAUGUUAGUCUGGCUCCGAGCCAGAUUAGUGUCGGAGAGAAGUUGUUAAGCAAGCUGCCUGGGAAGUACGGCCGCAAGACUGAAAACUUAAAGGAAUUGGGCGGGGGAGCACAGCAACGGGUGGAGCGUGCGGUUU
rnacentral:rRNA from 1 species